rnacentral:rRNA from 1 species
AACGUAGGUUCCGAGCGUUAUCCGGACUUACUGGGCGUAAAGUGUGCGCAGGCGGCCGCGCAAGUCGAGUGUGAAAUCCCCGAGCUUAACUUGGGAAUUGCGCUCGAAACUACGUGGCUGGAGUGUGGCAGAGGAAGGUGGAAUUCCACGUGUAGCGGUGAAAUGCGUAGAGAUGUGGAGGAACACCGAUGGCGAAGGCAGCCUUCUGGGCCAACACUGACGCUCAUGCACGAAAGCGUGGGGAGCAAACAGG